rnacentral:misc_RNA from 1 species
GAUUUGUUGGUAAAAGCCACUCGAUCUCGGGUGAAAGAUAUUAUUGGCGUUGAGCUGAGAAAAUUAGAACAUGAAGUAUCACGACUGGAGAAAGCAGCAGCAGAUCCCGUCUCGUCAACAGAAGUACCACAGAAAAAACCAAGGCCACAAAUUCAAACCCAGACAAUCACUAAUUAUGCUUGGGACCAGUCUGAUAAAUUCAUGAAGAUUUAUGUCACAAUUAAAGGAGUGCAUUCUCUUCCAAAGGAAAGAGUUACCUGUGAAUUUGGUAAGAGGUCCUUCAGAUUACAAGUGGAGGAGGAGGAAAACAAGCGCCGUUCUGAGCUGUAUAUAUCCACCCUGCUGGAGGAUAUCAACCCCGAGGAGAGUUGGUACAAGCUGAAAACAGAUACAGUGCUUCUGAUGCUCAAAAAGAGUACCACAGGAAAAACAUGGCCGUAUGUCACCUCUGGUGAAAAGGCAAAGAAAGCCAAAGAGGACAAUGAGAAAAAGCCGAAAAUGGAUGAUGACAAGGACCCUAAUGAUAGCCUGAUGGAAAUGAUGAAGAAGAUGUAUGAUGAAGGGGAUGAUGAUAUGAAGAGGACCAUCGCCCAAGCAUGGACCCAGUCCAAAGACAAAAAGGGUGGCCCCUGAUAAGCCCCAACCCCCCUCUCCAACAGACCAAAGUUGAUGGGCAUGUCAAUCAAAUUGCUGUCACUCUAAAACCUAUGAGGAUGAGACUUUCUUAGUAAUCAUUCAUGCAUUUCAUCCUGUACAUGUACCAUUGUGUGAUGAAUGUUUUUGCAAUUACAUGUGUAUCACAUUUGAUUCAUAGACAGUAGAUUUGAAGCUAAUAAACUACAAUAUAUU